CCAAGAGGGCACACUACACAGAUGGGAAAAGUGGACCAAAACAGAGAUGGAACUUCUACUGGCUCAGCCCCUGUGACUCAACAGUCAUGGCUACACUUUGGGGGAAGGAGUAUUAGGGUCAUUCUGCACCUUCCCCAUAAGCCCCCUAAUGACACAACAAUCCUUGCUCUUUGAGACUCAAGAGACUUUUUCUUAGGAUUCAGAAACAAAAUUGAGUGGAAGUGUGUGGGGAGGUAUGUGGGAAGGAGGAGGUUUUAUAAGAUUUACAGGCAAAAUGGUCAUCUGAUCCACCCCCAGCCCUGUUUGAGAAAUGAGGACAGAGGCUCAAAGUCGAUGAGUAACCAGCCCCAAAAUCCCAUGCCAGAGACAGAAUUUGGAAUCUCCUAACUCGUCACCUAGGGAGGAGCAGAGUCAGGCAUCCUUGCACUUUUGUUUAAGGGUUUGGGUUUGAGGCCAAGGACAAGAAGGGUUCCUGUGGACUAUUGGUUAGUACACUGUUGUCCCAGAUGGAGCCAGGGUCUUUGGAGGCUGAGGUGGGGAAAGACUCAGUGGAUCUAACCCCACAGGUGAAGAAAGAACUUUUGGCCUCUUGCACUACCCAACAGGCUCAGGCAAGGCCUUAUGGAGGAGACAAGCCCCAGAGGAGACGAGACCUCUCUAGCCUCUUUUCACCAGUGGACAUCCCUGCCGAGUAUGAGCAUCCUCUGACCGCUAGGCAGGUGGCAGGUGAGGGGAGAGGCUCCAUUUGGAACACAGGUGGGGAGGGAGGCUUAAGCCAAUCUAGGCCCUGGGAUGGAGAGGACAGCUAGAUGUGCCCAGCUGGGGUGGAAAGUAAUAGAACUACCUACAAAGAACUAUGUAUAAACCACAUUUUUGUAAUUCUAAGGUGUUAGGUGAGGUCAUUAAAAAAAAAA
rnacentral:lncRNA from 1 species